AACGAACGCUGGCGGCAUGCCUAACACAUGCCAGUCGAACGAGACCUUCGGGUCUAGUGGCGCACGGGUGCGUAACGCGUGGGAACCUGCCCUUAGGUUCGGAAUAACUCCCCGAAAGGGGUGCUAAUACCGGAUAAUGUCUUCGGACCAAAGAUUUAUCGCCUUUGGAUGGGCCCGCGUUGGAUUAGCUAGUUGGUAGGGUAAAAGCCUACCAAGGCGACGAUCCAUAGCUGGUCUGAGAGGAUGAUCAGCCACACUGGGACUGAGACACGGCCCAGACUCCUACGGGAGGCAGCAGUGGGGAAUAUUGGACAAUGGGCGAAAGCCUGAUCCAGCAAUGACGGGUGAGUGAUGAAGGCCUUAGGGUUGUAAAGCUCCUUUACCCGGGAUGAUAAUGACAGUACCGGGAGAAUAAGCUCCGGCUAACUCCGUG
rnacentral:rRNA from 1 species